CUGGGGGUAUAGCCAAGAUGGCAGAGUAAUCCUCAGCAGCUCUAUACCAACAUGAGAAUCUUUCCCAACCAAAAUUAAAAUAUUGCCACAAAAUUAAUAUAGGAGUGAAAGAACCAACAAGAAGGCAGAGUGAAACAACUUUCAAGAAAAAAAAAACAAAGAUCUCCAAGCACUUACAAGGGAAAGAUUGCAUUACUACGAAUGAAUGUGAAACAGAGUUGCCUAAAGCAUUUCAACAGCUGCCCUAAUGAAUUUUCUAUGAUGUGUAUAAGCUUCUCUCUGUUUCCAGCUUCUGGUUUCAAUGAAGCACAUGGCUAUUUCUUCAUCAUGUGA
rnacentral:lncRNA from 1 species